rnacentral:lncRNA from 1 species
AUGGGGACUGGUGGGCGGCGAGGGGGGAAAGCCCCGGAUGUUCGUUGGGGAUUCAACAUGGCGGCAGCAGUGGCCGUGGUGGCGGCGGCGCAAGAGAGCUGAGGGCGGCGUGAGCGCGCCAAGUUCCGGGCCGAGCAGCUAGGCCGCGAGCGACUGCGGUGCCGAGCCGGACUGUCGGCUCCAGGAAGGAGGGGCUGUCUUCACUGCCGGGUCCCCCGUGCCUACAACAGUGCCUGGCACACACUGAGUGCACAGUAAAGGAUUGUUUGGAGUUCCUGUCAUGGCUCAGCUGUUAAUGGAUCCAACUAGCAUCCAUGAGGAUGUGGGUCCGAUCUCUGGCCUCGCUCAGUGGGUUAAGGGUCCACUUAACCCCCUGAGCCGUGAGCUGGGCUAUAGGUUGCAGACUCGGCUGGGAUGUGGCGUUGCUGUGGCUCUGGCGUAGGCCAGCGGUUACAGCUGUGAUAGGACCCCUAGCCUGGGAACCUCCACAUGCUCGGGUGUGGCCCUAAAAAAAAGACAAAAAAAAAAAGGGGGGAUCGUUGAGUGCGUGACCAAGGCUGAGCGAGUGGACUCCGGCUUGGGUCAGACCUGCCGUGGAGUCCUGGCUCUGACACGCGGGGUGUGACCUCGGGCUGGCACCUCCCUGUGAGCCUCGCUUUCCUCCUCAGCAACGUGGGGUCUUCGCAGCGCCAGCUCUGCUCACUGCCACGUCUCGCGCACACCGAAGCCUCCAUCGCUGGCUUCGCUGGCGUCCUGCGUCUCCAGCACAGGGCACAGACGAGGGAGCCAGGACUGCCCCUGCCGUCCUGCCAGAUCUGAACGAACUCCUUCCACUCUGGGUGACGGGCUGGGGCGCCCCAGGACAGGGCCUCCGUGGAUGGAUGUGUUCCUGGGGCCAAAAAGGUUCCGUGGGGAGUGUGCGGCACGUGGGACCCCGGAGCGAGGGAUGUGAACAGACCUGGGUGUUGGGCUGAGUCUGAGUCUGGCUGCUUCCAGGCCUUUGUCUCCCUUGCAGGAAACAGGCCAAGAGCUGUUAGGAGGGCUGCUGCUCCCAGCCGCAAUUACAGGCUUGGGUGGGUGGGUGUGUCUGUGUCUGUGUCUGUGUCUGUGUCUGUGUCUGUGUCUGUGUCUGUGUCUGUGUGUGUGUGAUAGAGCGAGCAAAAGUUUGCCUGUCUGCGGGCACCUGCAGGUAUGGAGGGAGCUUCCAGCUGUCGGAAUUGCUACCCCUGGUGCUUCCUGCCCGGGCCUGUAAAAUGUGACACGUGUACAGAAAAGUGCAUAAAACCUCCCUUUUCGGUUCAGUGAGUGAUUACAAAGCACGCGCCCUUCUAAGGACCAAGACGAUAAGCACCCUAGGAGCCCCCUCCUCCUUGCACUCUUUCCAGCGUUACCAAAUAAAUUCAGCCCUCUUUUCCUCCUUUUAACUGUUGCCUCUUCAUUUGUGAAUUAGGAGAGAUUUCAGGUGCCCCCAGGAGAUCAGAGAAUCAUCUGAUGGACUCCCUUGGGCCCCUGCCCAGCUAAGAGAGAAAACACGCUCGCCAUGGUUGAAGUCCCCUGGGUCCCCUCCCGCAGGUACCCAGGCCUUACUGCGGUUCCUUGUUGCUUCUCUAAGCAGUAUCCGUGUUGUUCUGCAGGUUUCAAACUGUAUGUAAAUGAGACCAGGCCACCAGCGCUCGCUGCAGCUUGCUCUCAGUAUUUUGCUCUUGAGGUUUCCCGGGGUAGGAUUGUAAAUGAGUCCCCUGCCAGCAGGAGCGCUCCCCAGCGUGGGUCAGAGCUCCCCGCCACCUUCUCCCAGAGCCAGAGGAAAGCAGCCCUGCCCUGGUGGAGCCGCAGGGCUAUGUGGUGGCUAUGGGGCUCUGGGGCUCCUCUCGGCUCACAGCCCCUUGUGCCAGCCGGGUUUGGCAUCACUGCCCCAAGUGAAGGUGGGCACUUCCUGUCCCGGGAGGGCACUGCUGGCCAGGUUGACGUGGGAUUCAGGUACAGGCCUUUGACAUGUAAGGGGCCUUCCCUGACACGUGUAAGGGAUGCAGGGGUUCUGGCACCAUCCCGGGUCUGUCCGUUCCAUGGAGGAGCUGUCCCUGGAGAAGGGAAUGGAUUGGGGGCUGGGGCAGGAGGGUCUCCUCUCCCCCUGCCCCCCGCCCCUCCUGUUAGCCAGUCUCCUCCUUUCACGGAGAGGCCCUGUGGGGCAGAGAUUACUGUCAAAGGCUUUGGGUCCAGAGGCCUGGGUUUGCUACCCAGCUCUGCCACCUACUAGCAGGGAGACCUUAGGCACGUGGCUCCUCCCCCUCCCACCCCCCACCCCCAUUAGCCUCAAUCUCCCAUUUGUAAAAUGGGAUUGUUACAAAGGUUAUUUUAUCCCGGUAAAGCACGCCGAAGAGAGCUAGCACACAGAAACCUCUUAGCGAGUACUAGCUGUCAGUGUUGUUGUCGUACUGCCGUUCACUCAUUCAUUUUGUGCAUAACCACUGUGUUGCGUCUUCUGAGUCCAGCCCUGUGCUGGCUGAUGCCUGGGACAGGCUGGUGCCCUCUCUGCCCGAGGCCCUGUGCUCAUGUCCAGUGAGGGAGGCAGACACAGCCCAGAGUGACCUGGAGGAAAGCACAGGCCAGAGUGUCAAGACUUUGGUUGGAAGCCCAGAAGACUGUGGCAAGCUCUGGCUCCAGCCUAGGAAAUCAGAGAAGGCUUCCUGGAGGAGGAGACAUCUGAGCUGAGCGCUCUUAAGAGAACUAGGAGUGAGUUAGUGUGUGGAAGAUGAUGUGUGCCAAGGAGAAUGAAUAGCAUAUUCUAAGGUGAGAAAGGGUUUGGCAUUUUUAAUAAAUUGUGACUUUUAAAUUAAGCUUUUCAUUUUAAGAUCAUUGUAGAUUAACUGGGUGUUGUAAGAAAUAAGACAGAGAGAGACCUGGGACCCUUCACCCUUUUCCCCCAAUGGGACCAUCUUGCAAAAUGACAGCUAGGGCAAGACCACAACUAGGAUAUUGACGUAGAUGCAGUCAGGAUAGAGAACAGGCCAUGUCGGGAAUCCUCCUGCUGAACUUUGCAGCCACAUUCCCCCCGCCGCCCCUGGCCUUCCCUAACUCCCAGCAACCACUCCUAUCUGUUCCCCAUUUUUAUAAUUCUGUCAUUUCAGCAGUGAUAAUGUAAGUGGCAUCACACUGUAUGUAACCUUUAGGGGCUGGCUUUUUUUCACUCAGCAUAAUUCUCUGGCGAUUCAUCCAGGUUGUUGCCUGUGUCAGUAGUUCAUUCUUUUUCUUGCUGAGUACUGGAUGUGCCAUCGUUUAUUGAACCAUUCACCCACUGAGCGACAUCUGGGGCGUUUCCCGUUUGGGGCUGGUAGAAAUAAUGCUGCCAUCUACAGUCUCAUACCGGCUUUUGUGGGAAUGUAAAUUUUCAUUUUCAAUGCCCACAAGUGCAAGUGCUGGGAAGCAUGUUUAAAGAAACUGCCAAACUGUUUUCCAGAAUGCGGUACCGUUUUAUGUUCUCACCAGCAGUGUAUGAGCGAUCCGUUUUACCACAUGCUCACCAGCAAUUGGUGUUAACGCUCUUUUUUAGUUUAGCUGUUCUAAUAGUCGUAUCAUGAUAACCCAUCGUGGCUUUAAUUUGCUUUUCUCUAGGGGCUGAUGCUGUUGAGCAUCCUUUCACGAGCUUAUCUGCCAUCCGUGUAUCCUCUUUGGUGAAAUGUCUGCUGCCCAUUUUCUAAUUGGAUGGUUUGGGUUUUUUACUGUUGAGAGUUGAGAGUUCCUUAACUCUUUUAGAUAUUAGUCCUUUGUCAGAUACGUGGUUUGCACAUAUUUUCUCCCCAUCGGUAGCUUUUUGUCCUCUUCACGUGGACUUCUGCAGAGCAGAGCAGAAGUUUUUCAUUUUGAUGAGGUCUGCAUUAUUAAUUUUCCUUUGGGGUUGUGCUUUUGGUGUCAAGUCUAAGAAUUCUGUACCUAGCCCUCCAUCCCAUGUUUUCUAAAGGUUUUCAAGUUUUACAUUUUACGUUGAAGUCUGUGAUCUGUCAUGAGCUAAUUUGUGCAAAGUGUGAGGCUUUGAUGGAGGUUCCUGUUUUAGCGCGUGGAUGUCCAGUUGUUCCAGUACCAUUGGUUUCGAACGCUGUCUUUCCUCUGUUGAAUUGCUUAUGCUUCAUUGUCAAAAAUAAGUUACCACAAUGAGAUAUCACUUCACCCCUACCAGGAUGGCUGUUAUCCCCCCAACAUUGGAAAUAACAAGUAUUGAUGAGGAUGUAGAGAAAUUGGAGCCCUUGUGCAUUGCUGGUGGGAAUGUAAAAUCGUGCAGCCGCUGUGGAAAAACAGUUUGGUUACAUAUAGAACUACCGUAUCACCCAGCAAUUUGAGUCCUGGGUACAUAACCAAAAGAAUAAAAAGGACAGACUUGAACAGGUAUUUGUACACCACCGUUCAUAGUUGCAUUAUUCACAAUAGCUCAGAAGUGGAAACAACUCAAGUAUCUAUCAACAGACGAAUGGAUAAACAAAAUUUGGUGCCUCUGCACAAUGGAAUAUUAUUCAGCCAUUAAAAAGGAAUGGAGUGUUGAUGUGUGCUGCAGCGUGGAUGGACCUUGACAGCAUUAAGCUCAGUGAAAUAAGCCAGACAUGCGAGAAAUAUGGUAAGAGUUCACUUAUAUGAGGUACCCAGAGUGGGCAAACUCAUAGAGAAAGUAUGUCCUGACCACCUCCCGAGGUUCCCAGGGGCCAUGGGGAAGGAGGGCAUGGGGCGCUGUUGUUUAAUGGGCACAUGGAUUUGGUUGGAAGUGGUGACGGAGUUUGAGGUACAGGCAGUGAUGGUGGUUGUACGACACUGUGAGUGUAUGUAACUCUGUUGGAGUGUACACCUCGCAAAUGGUUACGAUGGCAGGCAUUAAGUGUAUUUUACCACAAUGAAAAAAAUCAAUGUUUUCAGACCCCCUUGGGUGCAUCUGUGUGGGCAUGUGUCUGGGUUCUCCAUUCGUUCACUGGCCAGGGUAUUGACCACCGCUGUCCUGAUGACCAUAGCAGUGCAGUGGGCCUUACUGUCGGUGUCUCACUUUCCAUCUUUUUCACAGUUGAGAUUCUGGGGCCUGGGGCGUGGCAUUUUGGGAGCUCCUCUCAGGCUCCCUUGUGUGGAAGAUGGCACUGCGGCUUAACCCACUUUCACAGUCACCCUUGGCACCUGCCUUGCCCUCAGCCCCCGUAUCUGACUCAUCCGCAGGAGCUGCUUUUUUCUUUUGACAAACAUAGUUCUGGUCUGCGCUCCUCUCUCCGUGUCCAGCCGUCGUGCCGCCUCCUUCAGUUGUCUGGAGCACAUUAGUCUUUCCACUUGUCCCCAUGCCCUCUCGGGACCUACUUGAUCCCGUCCUCCACCGGCAAGGCAGCCAGAGUUACAUCUUCCAAAUGGAGGUCCGUCCCCAGUGCCUGCCUGGGCUCCCCACCUACCCCGUGGCCUGGCUCCUGCCCUCCUCCAGCCUGGCUUCCUCGUGCUCUCAUCCCUCCAGCCAGCCCGUCUCAGCUGGAAUUUCGCGUCUCAUCUGUGAUCCUGGACCACAAGCCCCCCAGGGCAGAGACCAUGCUGCGCCCCCACCCCAGCCUGGAUGGCAGGUGGUGGACACGCAUUGCAUUUCUGUUGACAGAAUCCAGAGAGAGGCGUGGGAAGGAGCCAGGGCUGGAGAGUGAGGAUGAGGCUGGAGAAGUGGGAGUAGCUGGGGUGGGUUGACAAAGGUCUUCCUGACCUCGCAGAAAAGUAGGCAAACAUUUUGAAGACACAUUUAGCAACAAAGGAAUUCUGAUGGGGUUUUUGAUAUGAAAGGAGGCGCAGUUACUGAGUAGAAAACUGCAUGGGAAAAGCAGGCUGAGAGGGGCCAGACUUCACCUCUCUGGCCUGCAAAGAUCACAGGCUUUUGCAGCAACAUGGAUGGACCUAGAGAUCCUGAUAGUAAGUGAAGUGAGUCAGACAGUGAAAGACAAACGUCAUGUGAUAUCACUUAUAUGUGGAAUCUAAAAAAGGUUGCAGAUGAAAUUUGCAGAAUAGAAACACACUCACGGACUUUGAAAAGGGGACAGGCGAAGGGGGCGGUGGAUGGACUGGGGGUUUGGGAUUGGCAUGUGCACCCUGAGGUCUGUGGAAUGAUUGGCCAGCAGGGACCUGCUGAACAGCACAGGACUCUCCCCAGUAUUCUGUGAUCAUCUAUGCGGGAGAAGAAUCCGAAAGAGAAUGGAUGUGUGUGCAUGGAUAACUGAAUCACUUUGAUGUGUAGCAGAAAUUGUCCACAACGUUGUAAAUCAACUAUACUUCAAUAAAAGUUUUUAAA